rnacentral:tRNA from 1 species
GGAGAGGUGGCCGAGCGGUUUAAGGCACCAGUCUUGAAAACUGGCGACGUGUAACAGCGUCCGUGGGUUCGAAUCCCACCCUCUCCA